rnacentral:rRNA from 1 species
AUUGAACGCUGGCGGAAUGCUUAACACAUGCAAGUCGAACGGCAGCACGGGGGCAGCCCUGGUGGCGAGUGGCGAAGGGGCGAGUAGUACAUGGGAACGUCCCCGGUCGUGGUGGCUAACGUAACAAAAGAUACGCUCAUACGGCAUACCAUCUGAGGAUGUACGCGGGGGACCUUCGGAUCUUGGGCGAUUGGGCGGGCCGAUGUCCGAUUAGCUAGUUGGUGGGGUAAAGGCCUACCAAGCCGACGAUCUGUAGCUGGUCUGAGAGGAUGACCAGCCACACUGGAACUGAGACACGGCCCAGACUCCUACGGGAGGCAGCAGUGGGGAAUAUUGGACAAAGGGCGCAAGCCUGAUCCAGCCAUACCGCGUGGAGGACGAAGGCCUUCGGGUUGUAAAGUGCUUUUGUUCGGAAAGAAAAGCAUCUGGUUAAUACCUCGGGGUUCUGACGGUACCGAAAGAAUAAGCACCGGCUAACUACGUG